AUUGAACGCUGGCGGCAUGCCUUACACAUGCAAGUCGAACGGCAGCGGACCUUCGGGUGCCGGCGAGUGGCGAACGGGUGAGUAAUAUAUCGGAACGUACCUUUCAGUGGGGGAUAACGGUAGCGAAAGUUACGCUAAUACCGCAUAUUCUGUGAGCAGGAAAGCAGGGGGAUCGCAAGACCUUGCGCUGAUUGAGCGGCCGAUAUCAGAUUAGCUAGUUGGUGAGGUAAAGGCUCACCAAGGCGACGAUCUGUAGCGGGUCUGAGAGGAUGAUCCGCCACACUGGAACUGAGACACGGUCCAGACUCCUACGGGAGGCAGCAGUGGGGAAUUUUGGACAAUGGGCGCAAGCCUGAUCCAGCCAUGCCGCGUGAGUGAAGAAGGCCUCGG
rnacentral:rRNA from 1 species